rnacentral:rRNA from 1 species
AGUGAACGCUGGCGGUAGGCCUAACACAUGCAAGUCGAACGGCAGCACAGUAAGAGCUUGCUCUUACGGGUGGCGAGUGGCGGACGGGUGAGGCAUACAUCGGAAUCUACUUUUUCGUGGGGGAUAACGUAGGGAAACUUACGCUAAUACCGCAUACGACCUACGGGUUAAAUCAGUAGAUCUUCGGACCUUGCGCGAUUGAAUGAGCCGGUGUCGGAUUAGCUAGUUGGUGAGGUAACGGCCCACCAAGGCGACGAUCCGUAGCUGGUCUGAGAGGAUGAUCGGCCACACUGGAACUGAGACACGGUCCAGACUCCUACGGGAGGCAGCAGUAGGGAAUCUUCCGCAAUGGGCGAAAGCCUGACGGAGCAACGCCGCGUGAGUGAUGAAGGUCUUCGGAUCGUAAAACUCUGUUAUUAGGGAAGAACAAAUGUGUAAGUAACUAUGCACGUCUUGACGGUACCUAAACAGAAAGCCACGGCUAACUACGUG